rnacentral:tRNA from 1 species
UGUGCAGUAGCUCAGUUGGUAGAGCCCCGGACUGUUAAUCCGGUCGUCGCAGGUUCGAGCCCUGCCUGCACAG